AUUGAACGCUGGCGGUAUGCUUAACACAUGCAAGUCGAACGGUAACAGGCCUUCGGGCGCUGACGAGUGGCGGACGGGUGAGUAACGCGUAGGAAUCUGCCUCAUAGUGGGGGGACAACGUGGGGAAACUCACGCUAAUACCGCAUACGCCCUACGGGGGAAAGCGGGGGAUCUUCGGACCUCGCGCUAUGAGAUGAGCCUGCGUUAGAUUAGCUAGUUGGUAGGGUAAAGGCCUACCAAGGCGACGAUCUAUAGCUGGUCUGAGAGGACGAUCAGCCACACUGGGACUGAGACACGGCCCAGACUCCUACGGGAGGCAGCAGUGGAGAAUAUUGGACAAUGGGCGAAAGCCUGAUCCAGCAAUGCCGCCGUGAGUGAUGAAGGCCUUAGGGUUGUAAAGUCUCUUUUACCAGGGUAUGAUAAUGACAGUACCUGGAGAAUAAG
rnacentral:rRNA from 1 species